rnacentral:rRNA from 1 species
GAGUUUGAUCCUGGCUCAGAACGAACGCUGGCGGCGUGCCUAACACAUGCAAGUCGAACAUGAUCCAGAGCUUGCUCUGGUGAAAGUGGCGCACGGGUGAGUAACGCGUGGAUAACCUACCCUGGUAUCCGGGAUAACAUUCCGAAAGGGGUGCUAAUACCGGAUAAGCCCACGGGCUCUUUGGAGCUUGCGGGAAAAGGUGGCCUCUAUUUAUAAGCUACUGUAUCAGGAUGGGUCCGCGUACCAUUAGCUAGUUGGCGGUGUAACGGACCACCAAGGCGACGAUGGUUAGCUGGUCUGAGAGGAUGAUCAGCCACACUGGAACUGAGACACGGUCCAGACUCCUACGGGAGGCAGCAGUGGGGAAUUUUGCGCAAUGGGGGAAACCCUGACGCAGCAACGCCGCGUGAGUGAUGAAGGCCUUUGGGUCGUAAAGCUCUGUCAGAGGGGAAGAAAUGAUAUAGUGCUAAUACCACUUUAUCUUGACGGUACCCUCAAAGGAAGCACCGGCUAACUCCGUGCCAGCAGCCGCGGUAAUAC